GACAGAACACCGGUACUUUGAACUCCUACAGCGCGCUCUAGAGAGGUCACUGGAUUAGGACUCCUUCAGUUUUCAGCUGGAAGAUCUGCUACUGAAGGAAGAAAAAUACAAAUGGUGAACUGAGACAAUGAAACAACGAAAAGAAGCAAAAAACAAUGUGACAACCACAAGCCACAUACUGGCACGUGCAGAUCUAUUAUAAACUAAACUGCUGUUAAUCACGGUAGAAAACACAAUUCCAUUUGAAUCACUACGAACACAUGAUUAUGCCACUUUCAUUACCAGGGGUCUAAUAAUGGCUACAGUCCAGAGCCUGGCAAGUGAACAGACAAGAUGGGGAAUGAAGAAGAACAAGAGUAAAAUAUGAAAAAACAGAGGAGCAUGUGACAAUGAGAGGACAGGGUUGAAGGAAAGUGCUAAUUACUAUGAACUGACAAAAUAAGUAUAAUGCUUGAGUGACCGGCUGCUGGAGGUCUGUGGCUAGUAAAUAUAAUAGCAGCAGCAGCAGCAGCAGAUGGAUACAAGCUGCUACAAUACUCACUCCAGACCCCUGUGCACAGCCACAGUGGCAGCACCGCCCCUUUAAGUUAUGCAACUUAGGCCAGUCCGGCCCUGUAUGCUAUUGCCAAACUGAUGCCAUUAAAAAAACAAAACAGUAGUGGGCAGUCGGGGCUCCCUUGCCCACCGGUUCCUGACUCCAAGGACCCCUUUUCACCCCAUGAAAGCCUUAGCAAGAUUCAUAUACAACAUAUCAACUGAUUUGCCUUAAAGUCUACACUUCAAAGGAAAUUAACGUUAAAGUUAAACAUUCAUGAUUCAGAUAGAGUGUGCCAUUUUAAACAACUGUUCUAAUUAGAGCAUAAAAUUGUAAAUACAUUUUCAAUAAUUUUCUAUUAUCUAACUGGUUUCAUUCUCUUUGUAUCCUUUGUUGAAAAAUAUACCUAAGUAGGCUCAGAAUCUGUUAAUUGGUGGCUGCACAUAUAUAAUUCUUGUCAAUGGCUUUCAGCUAGUCCCAGUAGGGCAUUACUGCUUCUUCAACAAAGGAUACCAAUAGAAGAAAGCUAAAUAGAUAAUAUAUGUAAAUAGGUAAGUUGUUUCAUUAAAAGACACAUUUUGGAUUUCA